UCAGACUUCUACAGUGCCAUUCCGUGGAGAUCAUUGCUGAGCUUCUGGGUGGUUCUUGCCCUGUGUAGUUUGGUAUUAAUGGGGAGGAAAUCCACAGAAAAUCCAGUAAGAUGAGAUGUAGACUCCAGAUAUUAAUUAAGUCUGUAUUAAUUGGCUAGAAGAGGCCUAGUCUUCAUGUAGGAAGAAUAUUUUGGAUGACACAGAAAUCAACCCAAGCUUCUUCCAAAGAAACCCAAAGCUUCAGUUUAAGCUUCAGGCUGGACCAAACCCCACUGACUGGUGGUUUUUCCACCCAAGGAGACGCACAGUGUGUGCUUUGUCACAUCACACGGGGAGAAAUAAGUGUUGGAUGGGGCUCAGAGCAAGCUGAUCUAGUGGAAGGUGUCCCUAGCCAUGGCAGGGGGCUGGAAUGAGAUGUUCUUCGAGGUCCCCUGCCAAUCCAAACCAUUCUAGGAUUCUGUGAAAUCUUAAACUCUCCCAGUCCUAGUAUUUCAUAUCAAUCCAAAUGUAAAUCUAACCCAGGGUCUGUUGGAUCCCAAAUGUAAACCUAAGCCAAGGUCUGUUGGAUCCCAGGUGCAUCCAUGGUGUUGGAUACACCGAGGCUGGCAUUCCUGGGCCGAAGCUGCUGCGGGACUGCCCGCCGGAGGAGGCGGCAAGCAGAUUUGGCCCUGCAGGCAUUUCUCUGUGUGCCAACACAAACCCAGGCAGGCACACCUUAUAAACACAUGACACAUUCAUUUUCAGGAAAGCAAAGGGGGUGGUUUCUCCAUGACCUUACCCAUUCCCCCGCAGCGGGUGGAGGGGUUUUUCCUCUGCCUUACCCGUUCCCAGCAAGUGAGUAACAUGCCCCGAGCCUGCUUUGAAAUGAAGAAAUUCAGUAUGGUUUCGAAGCAGCGCUAAUCCACAGUGCUUUCCUUGGGCAGGAUCCUAUAGGGAGUUUUUUCUUUCCGGCAUUCGAAUGCAAUUUGCAUAUUUCAAGUCUCAUUUGGCUGGAAAUGAGCUGGAAAGGCACACUCCGCUUCAGGUUCCAAUUCAUCACUUUUUUAAGCCCCGUGUUGCGUAAAUCCGUCCCACCCAAGGGAGGUUCUGCUGCUCUCAGAAAUGCUAAACUUCACGGGUAAAAUCUGAAUAUUGUUCUGUCUACAUCAGAUAUAUGUUAUUGCUUUCAUGAGCAGCCACAUGUUGAUUUAUGGCAACAUGCUAUUUAUUUAUCAACAUUUACAUUGUGGAUUUUUAAAUUAUUCUAAUAACAUCAGGCCAACAAGUUGGUCAUGAUGUUGCUCCUUUAAAGUCUUCCUUUGAACAUAUAUAUAAAUCAACUCUGCUUUGAUGUGAAAUUGGAGAUUUCAUAACUGUGUGUUUACUUUUUGGUUUAAAAAAUAAGCUGAAGGGAAAACAAAAAAACCCAAAAAAACAAAUAGUACUUUGUAUCUCAUUAAAAAUAGUUUCUAGCACAUUAAACAUGAUAUUGUUUUAGGAAACAAGAACUAGAGAGAGUUGCAAAAACAUUUGAUUUUUUUAAUGACUGAUAGUUGACUGCAACCAUUCUACUUUUCUUCAGGCACUGAAAUACAGCUGAAAACUUUUUUCUUUAGUGCUGAUUAGGGUGAAACAGGCUUGUUUUUUUAUUUAAGCAUUUAAAUGCACCUUCCCAUCACCCUCCACGUGAGUGCCUAGAAAGGAAAAUCAGUAGGAAUUAUGAAGUAACAAGGACUGCUGCAAAUUCGUUUGACACAGUCCUUUCUGUAAGUGAUGUAAGAGCAAGAAAACACAGAUAAGCAGGGUUACUGCUCCUACAAAUUAAAGAAUUUUAACUCUUGACUUGCAAACUUGCCAAGAAACAGCAAAAGAAGUGGUCCAUACUUCAAAAAUCCAGGAGUUUGGUCUGCUUAAGGAUUCGGUCUCUGUGCAAUACAGGAAUGAGGUCUGUCAGGAUGAGAGGGCUGGGUAUAACAAGCUUCAAGCUUCUCAAGCACGGGGAUAAUAUUAAUCCCGUAUUUUUUAAAAUCUGCAGUAGACUGUCCCAUGCAUCCCUUCUGAGCACCCAGAGGUCCAGACAGAAGCAUUACACACUGGCUGUCUGACCCGGUUGCCGUACACACGAAUGAGUAAUUUCCCUCCUGUGUGUAAAUAAUUUCCGAUGGGACUAUCGGGAGAGCAC